rnacentral:rRNA from 1 species
UAGGGAAUCUUCCGCAAUGGGCGAAAGCCUGACGGAGCAACGCCGCGUGAGUGAUGAAGGUCUUCGGAUCGUAAAACUCUGUUAUUAGGGAAGAACAAAUGUGUAAGUAACUAUGCACGUCUUGACGGUACCUAAUCAGAAAGCCACGGCUAACUACGUGCCAGCAGCCGCGGUAAUACGUAGGUGGCAAGCGUUAUCCGGAAUUAUUGGGCGUAAAGCGCGCGUAGGCGGUUUUUUAAGUCUGAUGUGAAAGCCCACGGCUCAACCGUGGAGGGUCAUUGGAAACUGGAAUACUUGAGUGCAGAAGAGUAAAGUGGAAUUCCAUGUGUAGCUGUGAAAUGCGCAGAGCUAUGGAGGAACACCAGUGGCGAAGGCGACUUUCUGGUCUGUAACUGACGCUGAUGUGCGAAAGCGUGGAGAUCAAACAGG